rnacentral:rRNA from 1 species
ACGCACGCUGGCGGCGUGCUUAACACAUGCAAGUCGAACGGAAAGGCCCUGCUUUUGCGGGGUGCUCGAGUGGCGAACGGGUGAGUAACACGUGAGUAACCUGCCCUUGACUUUGGGAUAACUUCAGGAAACUGGGGCUAAUACCGGAUAGGAGCUCCUGCUGCCUGGUGGGGGUUGGAAAGUUUCGGCGGUUGGGGAUGGACUCGCGGCUUAUCAGCUUGUUGGUGGGGUGGUGGCGUACCAAGGCUUUGACGGGUAGCCGGCCUGAGAGGGUGACCGGCCACAUUGGGACUGAGAUACGGCCCAGACUCCUACGGGAGGCAGCAGUGGGGAAUAUUGCACAAUGGGCGGAAGCCUGAUGCAGCAACGCCGCGUGCGGGAUGACGGCCUUCGGGUUGUAAACCGCUUUCGCCUGUGACGAAGCGUGAGUGACGGUAAUGGGUAAAGAAGCACCGGCUAACUACGUG